UUAUGGUCUCUCCUCUUUGGCUAAUGCCAGCGACCACCCUGUAAUGAGGGGACAGGUUGCAUCUUGCUUUUGAAAUCUGGGGGAUUAGAAUCAUUUGCGUAACAUGGGCAGCUUGACCUCCCUGUAAGUAGGGUUUGAGUCUCCGAGGCCCUUUGGCUGCUUAGUGAGUGUGACUGCCCUGCAAUCAGGGUGCAAGUCACCUCCCCCUAAAUGUUGGGGGGGGGGCAUUGAGCUCUUUGUUAAACUGAGCAAUGUGACCGCCCUGUAACUAGGGCCCGGGUCUCUGCCCACUUGCUCAUUUGGCUUUACGCCAUGCUCUGCCCCAUUAGUCAGCGUGACCCUCUAGUCUCUUGGCACUAGGCCAAAUGCAGCCACUGCCCCGAAUGAGCACCCUGUAAACAGGGUACAGGUCUCAUCAGCUACUAUUUAUGGUGCCCCCAUGAGACUGUGUCCAGAGUACCGGCCCUUUAAGCAGCGUUUGCAACGUGCCUGGAAUUCUGCAGCCAAGUCUCCUGCUUUCUCCUCCCUUCUUGGAUUCUUGGAGACCUGACAUGCUAUUGGUGGCCUCAUGAAGCAGAAGUGGAGAAGAAGGAAGUGUCAGGAAUGCCACAGACAGAGGAGAAAAGAAGAUGGAGGAAAAGGAAAGGAACUCUGGGCACAGUACCCUCCCUGAAAUCAGCCUCAGGUCAUGUAAUUAGACUGUAUGGGAAUCUCGAGCCUUUUAAUACCUUGAGCAGCGUGACCACCCUGUAAGCUGGGUCCCGGUCUGUCCCCUUUGGACAUUCUGCUCCGUCAUCUGGCUAGUGUGAGUGACUGUCCAGUAAUGAGGGUGCCAGUCACCUCCCCCUAAAUGUGGAGGGGCAUUGAGCUCUUUCUUUAAUUGAGCAUUGUGACCGCCCUGUAACUAGGGUCCGUGUCUCUGCGCACUUGCUCAUUUGGCAUUACGCCGUGCUCUGCCCCACUAGUCAGCGUGACAACCCUGUAAUUAGGGUCCAUGUCACAAGGCUCUCCAGAAUGGGACAUAUCGAGCUCUUUGGUACUUUGACAGCUGGACCUUCCUGUAAUUCAGGUUAUGGUCUCUCCUCUUUGGCUAAUGCCAGCGACCACCCUGUAAUGAGGGGACAGGUUGCAUCUUGCUUUUGAAAUCUGGGGGAUUAGAAUCAUUUGCGUAACAUGGGCAGCUUGACCUCCCUGUAAGUAGGGUUUGAGUCUCCGAGGCCCUUUGGCUGCUUAGUGAGUGUGACUGCCCUGCAAUCAGGGUGCAAGUCACCUCCCCCUAAAUGUGGGGGGGCAUUGAGCUCUUUGUUAAACUGAGCAAUGUGACCGCCCUGUAACUAGGGCCCGGGUCUCUGCCCACUUGCUCAUUUGGCUUUACGCCAUGCUCUGACCCAUUAGUCAGCGUGACCCUCUAGUCUCUUGGCACUAGGCCAAAUGCAGCCACUGCCCCGAAUGAGCACCCUGUAAACAGGGUACAGGUCUCAUCAGCUACUAUUUAUGGUGCCCCCAUGAGACUGUGUCCAGAGUACCGGCCCUUUAAGCAGCAUUUGCAACGUGCCUGGAAUUCUGCAGCCAAGUCUCCUGCUUUCUCCUCCCUUCUUGGACGCUUGGAGACCUGACAUGCUAUUGGUGGCCUCAUGAAGCAGAAGUGGAGAAGAAGGAAGUGUCAGGAAUGCCACAGACAGAGGAGAAAAGAAGAUGGAGGAAAAGGAAAGGAACUCUGGGCACAGUACCCUCCCUGAAAUCAGCCUCAGGUCAUGUAAUUAGACUGUAUGGGAAUCUCGAGCCUUUUAAUACCUUGAGCAGCGUGACCACCCUGUAAGCUGGGUCCCGGUCUGUCCCCUUUGGACAUUCUGCUCCGUCAUCUGGCUAGUGUGAGUGACUGUCCUGUAAUGAGGGUGCCAGUCACCUCCCCCUAAAUGUGGAGGGGCAUUGAGCUCUUUCUUUAAUUGAGCAUUGUGACCGCCCUGUAACUAGGGUCCGGGUUUCUGCCCACUUGCUCAUUUGGCAUUACGCCGUGCUCUGCCCCACUAGUCAGCGUGACAACCCUGUAAUUAGGGUCCAUGUCACAAGGCUCUCCAGAAUGGGACUUAUCGAGCUCUUUGGUACUUUGACAUCUGGACCUUCCUGUAAUUCA